rnacentral:rRNA from 1 species
UACGUAGGGUGCGAGCGUUGUCCGGAAUUAUUGGGCGUAAAGAGCUCGUAGGCGGUUUGUCGCGUCUGCUGUGAAAUCCCGAGGCUCAACUUCGGGUCUGCAGUGGGUACGGGCAGGCUAGAGUGCGGUAGGGGAGAAUGGAACUCCUGGUGUAGCGGUGGAAUGCGCAGAUAUCAGGAAGAACACCGAUGGCGAAGGCAGUUCUCUGGGCCGUAACUGACGCUGAGGAGCGAAAGCGUGGGGAGCGAACAGG